UAGACAGAUUAGUGUAUUCGACUGUAUUCACGACGUGAAAUAGGGGAUUACACUGUUUUUAAAAUGGAAAGUGAAUCAAUUAACAUAAUAGACUCUU
rfam:Nicotiana sylvestris Nsyl_contig7301, whole genome shotgun sequence.